GUGCCAGCCGCCGCGGUAACACGUAGGGGGCGAGCGUUGUCCGGAUUUAUUGGGCGUAAAGAGCUCGUAGGCGGCUCGGUAAGUCGGGUGUGAAAUUUCGAGGCUUAACCUCGAAACGCCACCCGAUACUGCUGUGGCUAGAGUCCGGUAGGGGAGCGUGGAAUUCCUGGUGUAGCGGUGAAAUGCGCAGAUAUCAGGAGGAACACCAGCGGCGAAGGCGGCGCUCUGGGCCGGUACUGACGCUGAGGAGCGAAAGCGUGGGGAUCAAACAGGAUUAGAUACCCGAGUAGUCC
rnacentral:rRNA from 1 species